GUGUGUGUGUGUGUGUGUGUGUGUGUGUGUGUGUGUGUGUGUGUGUGUGUUUGCGUGCAGGUGGGUGGGUGAUUUGUGUGCGUACGUGUAUGUCUGCCAGCUGAGGGCAGGAAGGCAGGUGACACGGUUGGAAAACAGAGGGAAUAAAAGAAGAGCAGCCGUGCUCACGUGCUUUAAGCUCCUUGGCGCUAAUCACUGUGAACAGAGGCACCUGCCACUCGGCCCGCCAGCACACACAGGAGCGCCUGACCAUAUGGAGCGCCUGACCAGUGCAACACACCGCACCAUAUGGGGCUAAAUUCAACUCAUUGCAAGAUCUCUCAACACGGCACACCUUAACUGACAAAGUGACUCCACCAAGACUGCGUGCACACAGGAGGCCGUAAUGGACUGUGUGAGGUUUGGAGUGGACCGGGAGGCCGUAAUGGAGUGUGUGGGGUUUGGAGUGGGACAGGAGGCCGUAAUGGAGUGUGUGAGGUUUGGAGUGGACCUGCGUCACACAGCUGGUAGAGUUCAGCUCCCAGCUGUGUGUGUCUGAGCCUUUUCUGGCCGCUUGCCCCAAGAGGCCCGAUUAGCCACACACACUCCGGGUUGUUCCAGAGCUAACUACAGGCAACACAGGGUGAGGCUCAACCAACUCACCUUUCUUCCUCUCCCCACCUUCAUUCUUUUUGCCUGUGAGAAACAGAAGAUGGUACAGUCUGAGAAAAGUCUUCACUUUGUCAAAUGUGCAGAGAAAAGGAGCCGAGCCAUCAGUGGCACAGCAGCAUGGACUCAGCUAAGUGCUGCUCAUCUCGUCUCUGAUGUUCUCAUCACAUCUAAUGCAUCAAACCAUCAUUCUCAAGGUCAUUGUGAUCUUUUAUCAUUCUCAAGGGUGAAAAUGAUGCCUGUUUGGGAGUUGACACCCACAGCUGUCACAACCAUUUUCCCUGAGCCCUCCAUGACAUGGGUGCCUGGAAGAGACAAAUCAGCUAAAGUCAGACACACUGGAUGCAAAAUUGUUCCAAACGUAGAAGAACUGAGACGAUGAUCACUUCCUCCUCAGACGAUGAUCACUUCCUCCUCCGACUCAGGCGUACGUUCUCCAUCAUUCCCUCUCUGGGAACAUUCUGUUCCAUUUCUGUGUUCCAUUCCAACACAUAUUUCCAGACGCUGUUCAUAUAUUACACCUGACACGUUACUGCAGGAUAGCUAUAGAUAAAUUGUGAGCAGUGACUCAGUAAGCACGUUUUUGGCAGCAAUUGAGCAGAAGCUGAGCAGAGCGAGACCUAAAACAAGACCAAUGAGACGCCUUGUUCUUGUGCUCUGCAACAUAUCUACACACACCCUGUGAAGGGGAUCUCCUCUAAUUGCAUCUUUCAUUAGUUUAACACAAAAGGCACUGUGUACCAACCAACCGAUCUAUUAUGUCAUAUCUUCACUGAGGUAUGAUCUUGUCAAAACAAAUGUCUGGAGCAUCUACGUCUUCCAGAGAAGCUGGAACAAGCUGGAGGUUUGGAUGAGAGGGGUCUCUCAUUUCGGUAGCUCGGUAUGGUGUAGCUUAGCCUUACAGCCAUUAUGGCACAAAUGAUUAUGGCAUGGAAAGAGGGAUUUAGCAAAAUGACAGGGCUGCAUCACCUGAGAGCAACAUGGGGUCUUUAUCGAGUGUCUUCUUCACAUGGUCUGAUUCUCCAGUAAGAGAGCUUUCAUCGAUCUUCAGAUCGUUGCCCUGGAUUAGCACUCCGUCCGCAGGAAGCAGGUCACCUGGAAACAAGCACCAGACAGGAGACACAGCCACUAGGAUCUGGAUGACCUGUCCUCCCCGGACGACCGUGAAGCGCUGUUCCUGCUCGAUGCGGCUCUGGAGGCCGCGA